CAGGAUCAUUUGUGGGACACGUGAUUCCUUCUUACCGAAAAGUUGGUUGGAAAAGCAGAUCUCACACUCGAGGAAUGCCUCCAAAUUACAAGACCAAGUGGAUGAGUUCAACAUCAAGCUGCUGGAACUCUGACCCCUCUGCACGACCAUGAUGUACACAGACAUGACUGGGAACCCCCAGACAAGAGGAUCCUGACUGGCCAUCGGGUGAAAUUGCACCUGCAGAUUCCACCUGAGAUGAGGGUCCCACUGUCGUAGGCACUGAAAAAACACCCAGUAACAGUCUCUUCCCAGAAGUUCUCACAAUUAAAAUAGACAACACUGCAAAAGGAUUGGAGAAUGGAAAUAUUUCACUAAUAUACAAAUGAU